GACGAACGCUGGCGGCGUGCUUAACACAUGCAAGUCGAACGGAAAGGCCCUGCUUUUGUGGGGUGCUCGAGUGGCGAACGGGUGAGUAACACGUGAGUAACCUGCCCUUGACUUUGGGAUAACUUCAGGAAACUGGGGCUAAUACCGGAUAGGAGCUCCUGCUGCAUGGUGGGGGUUGGAAAGUUUCGGCGGUUGGGGAUGGACUCGCGGCUUAUCAGCUUGUUGGUGGGGUAGUGGCUUACCAAGGCUUUGACGGGUAGCCGGCCUGAGAGGGUGACCGGCGACAGUGGGACUGAGACACGGCGCAGACUCCUACGGGAGGCAGCAGUGGGGAAUGUGGGACAAUGGGCGGAAGCCUGAUCCAGCCAUGCCGCGUGAAGGAUGAAGGCCUUCGGGUUGUAAACUGCUUUUGUACGGAACGAAAAGCCGCUUUCUAAUAAAGAGGGGUAAUGACGGUACCGUAAGAAUAAGCACCGGCUAACUACGUG
rnacentral:rRNA from 1 species